rnacentral:rRNA from 1 species
ACUCGCAGAAGAAGCACCGGCUAACUUCGUGCCAGCAGCCGCGGUAAUACGAGGGGUGCAAGCGUUAAUCGGAAUUACUGGGCGUAAAGCGUGCGUAGGUGGUUUGUUAAGCAAGAUGUGAAAGCCCCGGGCUCAACCUGGGAACUGCAUUUUGAACUGGCAAACUAGAGUAUUGUAGAGGGUAGUGGAAUUUCCAGUGUAGCGGUGAAAUGCGUAGAGAUUGGAAGGAACAUCAGUGGCGAAGGCGGCUACCUGGACAAAUACUGACACUGAGGCACGAAAGCGUGGGGAGCAAACAGGAUUAGAUACCCUGGUAGUCCACGCCGUAAACGAUGUCAACUAGCCGUCUGUGACCUUGAGUCGUGGGUGGCGCAGCUAACGCACUAAGUUGACCGCCUGGGGAGUACGGCCGCAAGGUUAAAACUCAAAUGAAUUGACGGGGGCCCGCACAAGCGGUGGAGCAUGUGGUUUAAUUCGAUGCAACGCGAAGAACCUUACCAUCCCUUGACA